UACGGAAGGCAGCAGUGGGGAAUAUUGCACAAUGGGCGCAAGCCUGAUGCAGCCAUGCCGCGUGUAUGAAGAAGGCCUUCGGGUUGUAAAGUACUUUCAGUCGUGAGGAAGGUGUUAAGGUUAAUAACCUUAGCAAUUGACGUUAGCGACAGAAGAAGCACCGGCUAACUCCGUGCCAGCAGCCGCGGUAAUACGGAGGGUGCGAGCGUUAAUCGGAAUUACUGGGCGUAAAGGGCACGCAGGCGGUUAAUUAAGUUGGAUGUGAAAUCCCCGGGCUUAACCUGGGAAUGGCAUUCAAGACUGGUUAGCUAGAGUCUUGUAGAGGGGGUAGAAUUCCGAUGUGUAGCGGUGAAAUGCGUAGAGAUGUGGAGGAAUACCGGUGGCGAAGGCGGCCCCUGGACAAAGACUGACGCUCAUGUGCGAAAGCGUGGGGAGCAAACGAGGGAUUAGAU
rnacentral:rRNA from 1 species